rnacentral:lncRNA from 1 species
UUUGUUCUUGUUCCUGUUUCUGGGAGGACUUGGAGAAGGAGGUGGAGGACCCUUUGAUCUUGUGGAGUAUUCUUAUGGUGCAAGAAUGCGCGAACUAACCUUUGGGGAUGGGAAUAAAAAUAAAAGAAAAAGGUAAAAAGUUAGUGUGGAUUCUGAUAAAUAAUAUUUCCAUAUAUAAACAUAUUGUGCGGGAAUAUAAAUCGCCUCCUAAUUUGGGUGCCUCGUUGUGCCCGAGGUAGGCCUAGCGACAAAUAAAAUUUGGAGAACAUAUAAUGCUAAAUGCCUCAUUUUAUUGAUAAAAAUAAGAUGAAUCCCAAAGGGACACCAAAUAAAAUAUCACUAAUGGCCAUUGGCCUUAUUACAUCAUCAAAGCAGAAGAACAGACUCCUAACUACUUGGUCACAGAAGGGCCUUCCCCAGAUUCGGUAUUCUUACCACCCUCGUAUAGCUACAUCAACUCGCGCAUCCAUAACAGUAGGUAGGCUCGAGCCAAAUGUCCUCCUGCGCUUCCCUCAGCAUUAUGACAGUCUUCAAUUCAUUAUAUGAACUUCCCUUCUAACUCCACUAGACCUUGCUCCAGAUACCCUCAAUGAUUUUGUUGUUGGGUUGGAUUUCCAUGAGUGAAGGCAAAUUUCCUUAAUUCUUACGGACAAGGGCUCGGUCACUGCUAUGAAGAUCCUCUCACCAGCUCAGCAACCUUGGGUGGAUGUUGGAUACCAUACCGAAUCUGGGGACCUCGUGCUUCAUUUUCUCCAGAACAAAGUGUUAGGCCCAAAGGCAUUUAGUUCUCUAAAUCAAUGCACAUAACGUGAAUGUACGUUUGGGUUUCAAGAAACCCGAUGGACUUUGGCUUAGGCUUUAUUAAUGAUUCAUUAUGCGGACAACAUAACUGACUCGGCUAGGGUUGACCAUAAUGCAUGAACAGUUUAGGGGAAUAAAGUUUCUGCUUUUGAAGUGCUAGACAAACCUUGAGCGGGCAAUUCAAGAGGGAAAGGCGCAACACCAUCGACUACACCGUUGAUCGACUUGUUUCACCGCAAAUAUGCCUUUGCAAUAUUUAGGGGAUUUAUAAUAUUGGAAGAGCGCAACCACUCAUUGUGUGGGUUGCUAUUGGAUUUGUUUUGGCACGAGUGGAACAUGAUGUUGAGAAAUGCAAUUACAAUACUGAAACAAGUUACAUGUAUUUUCACGUUCAUAAGAUAAAUACUUACAAUGGUUGCUCGAAAUUAAAAUAGUAUUGAAAUAAUAAAGCGCUAAGGAAAGCAGUUAAAGGAAAAAGAAAACAAGAAGAGUUAAGUUAGUAAUUGUGAUGGAAUAACUAAAACAGAAAUAAAUGCGAUUAUAUUAAACAAGUAGAGUCACAAAAGCAAGUAAUGGUAAAAGCCUUAAAUAAAAUUCCCAGCAGAGUCAUCAUGCUGUCAACGCCCCCUUUUUCCCUCCUAAAAGAAGAAAAAUUGGGUUUACGAUAUUAUGGGAGAAACAACUCUUAUUCCCUUUUGGGAAUUGGGUUAUGGCGUUUGAAGAGUCGGCACCUGAUGAUUAUAGUGCAUUAGGACACUCUGAGAAGAAAAAAAGAUUUUAAAAGAAAACUAGAGUUCAGGUAAGGGCUUGAAAUUAUCUUGAGGGGAAGGUGUUAGGCACCCCUCAAGAUCCAAUAGUGUGGUUCCCGGCCUUGCUUAAAUAUGAAUUUAAGAAUCAUAGAAAUAAACAAGCAAAUAUGCAUAUAAAGAAUACAAAACUAGUGGAAAAUUUUGAAAGAAGAAUAGCACAAGUAAAAGGGAAAUUUUAGAGAAAAUAUUUAAACAAAAGUAAAAGAUAAGGGGGUCCUAGGUUGAACUAUAAUAUGGAUCAUCGAUACAAUAUCCCGCACAUAUUCCCACAGAGGGUCGCUUUAUGAUAUUAUCACAUCGUCAUCAUCUCCAUAUUCUACUCUUCCCACCCCGUAGAGGUUAUUUAAGCAUGUGGAUUGGUCACGAAUACUUAUUGCGUGCUAUUACUUGUCCCAUUCCAUAGAUCCUAGAUGGCAUUUAGGAUCACUAUUCCUAUAAGGUAGGAACUAGGCUGAACCCUUAAGAUUAAAGGUUAAAAUGCUAGACGACAUACAAGCAAAUAGGACUUGCACAUAAAGGGAUCAUAUAAAGAUAUAAAAGGCUUAAAUACCCCCCUAAGAAUAAACACGUAAUUAGCACGUCUCAGAUACAUUUAAGGUCUUAAAGAAGAGAGAGAGUUUUAGAAAGCUGGAGUAUAAGAUUAAAAAACAGAAGCUGGAGAGUUUUUGCAGGAAAGAGGUCAUAAGAAAAGCUUUCAGAACUUUAAGAAGGUGGUAGCAGUUUUAGUAAUUUGCAGAAAUUACUUAGAAAAACAUUUAUGGGACAUAUGUUAAAACAGUUUUUCGUACAGGCAGAGUGAAAGGACAAAUAUAAAAAUAUUUUGAGAUUGCAGAAUUGUAUAGAGAGACGGUAAACAUACUACCUUUUGAGCUUUUGAUAAUUACAGUAUUUAGAUAGUCGAAAUAGUAGUCCAAUUGUGGACAAGAAAUACAGUAAAAACCUUUUUCGUAGAUAGUUUAAAAAUAGGGCAGAAGUUUGUAUAAAUUUAGAGGGCGUUAGAGACAAACGAAUUCAGACAUAGUGGGGUUAAUUUGAACACAACUUAAAGGGUGAUUAUUCAGUCUUUAUCUGGCCUAAGGCUUCCCUAGGCAUUAUUAAAGAUGGCGAGCAUGCCCAUUUGCUUCCAGUUUUAAAAGAAGAGUCGUUAACCAAUUUUACCAAUUUAGAGAAGUAUUUAAACAGUUGCAAAUAAAAAUCCUAAAGGGCUGGAUAUCUAAUGCCCAAAAGUACAAUAAACAUGGUAUCUAAAUGUGAAGGUAAUGAGUUGUUGAUUAUUGACUGAUUGUGAUUAAGAAACGUGCAAAGAAACAACUAAGAGAGAAAAUACUAGGAACAUGAUUUCUAUAUGUAGGGAUGCAUGUCCUAAAGCAUGGUAUUUAUUGCACAAGCAAGAAAUAAAGACCUAUUGACAUGUUCUCUAACCAUUCCCUUAACCUAAGCAUGCAUAACCCUCCUAAUUCACUAUAAACCCCAUCAUUCUUUACAAAUUAUUACAGCCCAAAUAAUUAAAUACAACAAUGAUAAAAAGAAAAUGAGAAAUUGUUCGAUAGGGAGCCUUCAGCCAGACCAAACAUCUCCAACCUCACUUCUUUUGAAUUUCACAGUCGGUACCAAUGUUUGGGUGCGGCAAAGUUCCCUAAGGGCUCGUUGGAACCCCUAGCCAAUACCAAACACCCAAAAUAUCAUUAUUUGAUGAGUGCAAGAAUGGAAGAUCCAGCCUCGUGCAUAAAAGUUCCAUGGGUGCUCAAGGGCUCCCAAGGCAAUGCUUACACUAAAGGGGCAGAACCUAAUGCUCUAAGAGUAGUGAGAUUAUGAUAGGACUGAGGAGUGAGGGUGGAGGCGGCCAGAAUGGCGAUGAAGACCAUAGGAGAUUAGAGAGAAAACCAGAAGGUUCCAGAGUGAACUUAGAGAUUGAUGGUUCAAGUGAGAGAGAGAGAGACCAGUCUAUUGCAAAUGAGGGUGGGUGGAUAGAGUCAUUAGGUUUUAAUUUAGGAAAUUAAAUCUGGGUCGUUGAUCUCAUUUGAUCAACGGCUCGGAUUGAAUCAAGGAUGGGUCGGGUAAAUUAAUGGGUAUGGGCCGAUCUAUUUUAUGAAGUGGGUCGUCUAAUAGGGCUCAAAAGUGGGGCUGCCAUGAGGUUCAAUUUAGGCUAUAAUAUAAAAAAAAAUUGGCUAACUUUUAAAUAGCCAAUUUCUCCCAAUUUAUUUUGUAAAAUAGCUAAAAUAGUUAAAAGUCAAAUUGAAAGCAUUGAAAUAAUUAAUAAAAUGUAAAUAUUAAUCUAAAAAUAUUAGAGAUAAUUUUGUAACCAUAAAUCAUAAUUAAUUGCAAAAGUAGGCCAUAAUUGUAAUUCCACGCAACUAGCUUUAAAAAUUCCGAAUAAAUUUGUAAAAAAUGUUCAAAAAUUAUAUAAAUUAUAAGUUGUUAUAAAUAUGAGAGUGAAGCACAUUACUAACUAAAAAUAAUAAUUUGGAAAUAAUUUUGGCCUUUAUACUAUCAAAAAAUAGGCAGUAAAUUGAUUUUAAAAAUCUUAAAAAUUAAGGAAAAAUACCAAAUUUUCCAGGCAUGCUUAUAUAUGCAUACAUAUACUAUUUUGAAAGUACUUUGGGUGCAAAAAUAUAUAGAGAAAAAUUGGGUAUCAACAAUGAAUAUGCACAUUUCCAAUAGGAAUGAUACCUAUAUGCAGAAAGUUAAAAUAUUGACUCCUAUACGCAGGAUUUCUAUGUGAUUGAACAGUAAAAUCCUAGGAUUAUGAUAUCUACCCUUUAAUGCAGGAAAGUAAUGACCCCCACCCCCGCCAUUUUCACUAUAUUCUCCAAGUUUAUACAAGUUAUUACAAAUUAAAAAAAUAAAGAAAAUACAUCAGAAGCUAUCAGAUGCAUCCAAGGUACCUAAAUAAGACUUAAUGCCAUAUACUAUGCGAUUGAACCACUUCUGGGAUCCAGAUUUCCUAAGCCUUCUCUUUAUCUAGGGUGCUUGAAAGUUCCAUUAGAAUAGAAACAAUGUAGUGUGAAAAAGGCAGCUUUCAGGCAUCCAAGUUAAGAGGGAUCUCAAGGGUUCCAAAGAAAGGCUUGCAAGAGAGGGGCAGAAUUUAAUCACUAAGAAUGAGUGUAAGUGCAGAAGGGAUUGGGGAGCCAUAACAAGUGGUGGUCAUGCCUAGCCAUAAAACAGGUUGGCACAUCUCUGACUAACCAAGUCUGGAUAGUGAUUAGCGCACUGGCAAACCAAGAUCUAAAGCUCAAGCACACAUAACGGGAAAGGGAGUAGGAAUUUAUUGAGUUUGGGAUUCAAAGAAUCCAGUCCAGACACAUGAACAACAAUAUUUAAGUAUUUUCAUGCUUUAUGAACCAUAAAUAUCAUACAAAGGUGUAGGGAUAAAGGCAUUCACACAAGAACAAAGAUGACAAACUUGCAAUGAAGCAGUAAGAAAGAAGCACAACAGAACUGAAGUAUAAAACACAUAGGAGAGAUCCAAAUAUUUAAUCUAGAAUAGACAUGCCAGUUGCAACGAUUAAAGAGCAUAACGAGAAAACAGAGCACUCGCAGCCACAACACAAAGAACACUAACUCAGGAUUUUAGAGAAAACUCGAAAGGUUUUGAGAAAACGUAAAGGUAUUUGAGAAAGAAAAGAGAAGUGGUGUCUAGAACAGAUCUGUGAGUUCAUAUGUUUGUGUUAAUGAGAAAGCCAAGUAUUUAUAGUGUAAAAAUAGGCAGAAAAUAAGGUAAGGAUUGUAGUUCAGCAAUAAAUAGGGAAACAAGUGUCAAAUUAAAAUAAAAUCAGUAUCAAAUACUUCCUUUAAUUAAGUAAUUCAAAUCAAACAGUAACAUGCAAGUGCUAAAUAAGGAAAUAAAUCACAUAGGCUGAAUAUGACUAAUAGGGAAGUAUUUCCAGCAUAGUACAGGUACAUAGUAGGUAAUAGAGGCUAGGUUUAUCAGAUUCUAAUCAAGGAAAGGUCUAUAAGAAUCCAAUACUAAUAUAAUCAAGGUAAGGGAAUCAAUCAACACGAGUAGGAAAGGUAGGGGUCGAGAUUUCAAAGGCAAGCAUUCAAAUAGGUCUGAAAAGCAAGGAAUCAGUACAAUAAGAAAAGAACUCGGAAUCACACAAAGAGAAUUGAAAUCAGUCCAUAAUCAAGGGCUACUUCGAGAGGGAAAUUUAACAUAUAAAGGAGUGCAUAGCCUUAGGCAUGUGAGGUUGUACUCAAAACAAAUAGUAUAAUCAAAUGAUAGUUACGUAAGUGAGGUUUAGUGAUUUAGAAAGGAUCAUGCAAGGAGUCGAGUGAAAAUCAUAGAUGAGUUUGACAAGUAGCAAAGCUCAUAACCAAAGAAAUACAUGCUAAUGUGAAAGAAUCAGGUGAAGAACUUCAGGAACUCAAAUAGACCCCAAAGAACUAGGGUUUUCCAAAAUCAGUCAUGCUUUAGAAGAUGAGAAGAUAAAUAUAUAAACAAUCUUAGAGUCUCAAAUAAACCCUAAAAAUUAGGGUUUUCACCACUUAUGCAGUAAAUCAAACGAUACCUAACAUGUAGACUCAGAAAUCUCAAAAAAAUAUUAAAAAUUAGGGUUUUCCAUCACCAAUUAAACCUAGAGAUGCUAAGAAGAUGAAUCAAAAAAAUCAUUAAAAGACAGACUCAGAAACCCUAGUUUAAAUUCAAUGGGUUUUGAAAAAUCAAAUUUGGAGAAAAUGCUUUAAACAUCACACACAACAUAGAUCUAGCACAGAUCUAAACGAAUAAAACAAAAAAGAACCUUCAAUAAGCUAGGGUUUCUGAGAACCCUACAGGACGAUAAAGGCUUGGAAGUCACGAGAUCAAAUCUGAGUCGAUAAAGUUGGAACGAGGCUCUAGAGGCUAAGAUACGCCGGAGUGGGGCCGGAAAUGGCUGAAAACCUUGAAUCGAUGAAGAUGUGGGUGAAGACCCUUGAAUAUUUACCUCGAAUCUUCAGGCACCGGGCAUGUGAGAGAAGUAGGAGGUGAGUAUAGGUCGUCCAUGGCUAGAGCAGCCAUGGAUUCUGAUGGAUUUGAGGUCGAAAAGAGGUAGGCAACAAGUAGGGUUCGAGAGCGUUUGAGAGAGAUGAGGGUUCGAGAGCGGCGUGUUUGAGAGAAUGGGGAGGGUAUAGGGGUUGUUUAGGAUUAAAAAGGUCGAGGGGAUCUGGGCCGUUGAUCAAAAUGAACAACGACUCAGAUUUUAAAACGACACGUACCGGUUCGGGUAAUAAGUGCUGAGUCGGUUCGAAUUAGGGUUGGGCGAUUUUGUGUUUGACUUGGGCGGAGAUUGGAGUGCCGAUUUUGGCUAAAAUUGAAAUGAACUAGGGCCAGACUUUAAAUUGUCACCUUUUCCCAUUUGAUUUAUAAAAUGUAGUAAUAAUAAUUUUAAAAGAAAACUAAAAGUACUGAGUAGAUAAAUAUUAUAUAAAUAUUCACUUAAAAAUACUAGAAAUAAUUUAUAAUUGUAAAAUAUUGUUAAUUGCAAAGUAGGCUAUAAUUGCAAUUAUAUACAAUUUAUCUUUAAAAUGUCAAAUAAAUUUAUAAAAAAUGGGAAAAACUUAUCUUAAUUAUAUUUUGGUGUAAAUAUGAGUAUAAAGUAAGUUAUUCACCAAAAUAAUAAUUUUAGACAUAAUUAUUGGAUUUUAUGGUAUAAAAUAGGCAGUAAUUUGGUUUAAAAAUCAUUAAAAAUCCAAAAACUCAUGGGUGUACUUAUAUGAACUUAUAUAUUCUUUCGGAAGUAUUUCGGGUACAAAAUAUAUAGGAAAAAUUAGGUAUCAACAAUUACAGAGUUCUUUAAUUACGACGAUCUUUUUUUUGUCAUAGUAUAAUUAUAGUGUAUAUAUCAGUUUACUGUUUGGUUGUACAAGUGUAUUUUGCAUAGUUAGAUUAAAUUUUAAAUUAAAUAAUUAUCAAAACUUAAAACCUAAUAUAAUAAAUAUAUUCCUAUAAAUUUUAAUAAGUAAUAAUGAAAGUAUAUUUGGUAUUUAAGAUGUAUAUUUUUUCAUGCAUAUACAAUAACUAGUAAUCAAAUAUUUAUAACAAUAUUUUAAGAAUAAUUUGUGCAUAUGUUGUAAGAACAUCGUGGAAUUCAUUUUUGAUAAAAUAGAUUGAUAUUUAUAAAUAUAAUAUCAUAAUAUUUUUCAAAUGUUUGACAAAACUAAUCUAUCAAUUCUAACUAAAAAAUGAAUAACAUGCAAUGUGAACUAAUUCUACUAAAACAAGUAAAUUAGAACCAUCAAUAUAAUAAACUUUAAAAGUUCAAAAAAAAAUUAACAUAUGUCAAAUUCCAACAUAAUAAUAGUAAAUUCCACUACUACUUAAGAUUAAGAAACAUUAUAAGUUUAUAACCAAAUUCAACAACAAAGUUUCACUUUAAAUGCAACAAUCAUUAAACGCCAAAUUUAUUAAUGACUCAUUAUUUAUAAUAUUAGGAGGUACAGUUUUAGAAAAUAGAAUAAAUAAAUAAAUAAAUAAAUAUAAGGAAUUACAUGGAAUCACAGGAAGUAAAGAUAGAGAAAUAAGAGAUAAAUAAUGUACAAAGAAAAUAUAUUUUAAAAUUUUAAAAGAAAUUAUGUAAAAAUAAAAUCAAAAAUUAAAAUGUAACGACCGAACCGGUCGUUUUACUGUUUAUAACUUUGUUCUCCUAAAUAAAAAAUUUCGCACUUUCUUUAGCUGGUUUAUGACUUGCGGGGACGAUUGGUUCGGAAGUUAGAAGAGUUUUGAAUAAGAAUAUAUCCAUUUACUUCUUUAAGAUUUUCUUAAAAGGCCAAGUUUGACUUCGAUCAACUUUCUUGGGAAACGGGUUUGGAUUUGUGAUUUGAUAGUCCCGAAGAGUGGUCUUGGGAAAAUAUGGGACCUGGGUGUAUGCCGUGAAUCGAAUUCUGAGAUCCCUAGCCCGAGAAAUGAUUUUUUAUGUUAAAUUGUUAAAUUGAAGUAUUAAAGAAUUAAAGAAACUAAGUAUCCAUUGAACUCCGAGGAAUCGGGCUCUAAUUUUGGUUCCAAAAUUUCGUGCAGGUCCGAAAUAUCAGUUAGGACUUACCUGUAAAAUUUGGCAACAAUUCGAGUAGUUUAAGGAUAUUUUGACCUGUUAGAAGAAUAUUAAGAACUUCAAGUUCAAUGGUUUUACUCAUUUUGGUUUGGGGUUUUAUUCCUCGAUUUAGAGUUAUUUUAAAUGUUUCGAGGGUUCGAGUAGGACUGCCUCGUGAUUUAAAAUUUAUCGGUAUGUUCGGGCAGGGCUUGGGAGCCCCAGGUGUCAAAUGGCCGAGGCUGAGUGAAGCUAGAAAGUUGAAAAAGGCGGAAGGUUGCUGCUUCUGUCAUAACUGCAUCUGCGGUUCUAGGAUCGCAGAAGCGGGACCGCAGAUUUGGUCAUUGAUCGCACAAGCGGCCUAAGGGAGACCACUGAAGCGGCCUAAGAACCACAGAAGCGGUUCCGCAUAAGCACUUUUUAGACCUCAGAUGCGGUCUAGCCUCCCUUAGCCCAUGUCGACGCCCCCCCCCUAGGGUGCUUGAAAGUUCCAUUAGAAUAGAAACAAUGUAGUGUGAAAAAGGCAGCUUUCAGGCAUCCAAGUUAAGAGGGAUCUCAAGGGUUCCAAAGAAAGGCUUGCAAGAGAGGGGCAGAAUUUAAUCACUAAGAAUGAGUGUAAGUGCAGAAGGGAUUGGGGAGCCAUAACAAGUGGUGGUCAUGCCUAGCCAUAAAACAGGUUGGCACAUCUCUGACUAACCAAGUCUGGAUAGUGAUUAGCGCACUGGCAAACCAAGAUCUAAAGCUCAAGCACACAUAACGGGAAAGGGAGUAGGAAUUUAUUGAGUUUGGGAUUCAAAGAAUCCAGUCCAGACACAUAAAAGAGUGUUUUUUGAGAGUAAAACCAGAGUUGGGUAAGGGCUUGACACUAUCUCGAGAGGCAGGUGUUAGGCACCCCUCAAGAUCCACAAAUAUGGUUCUCGGUUGUGCUAAUUGUGACUUUAUAAAGAAGAUGAAGCAGGUAGACACAUGAAGUACACGUAUUCACAUAAUUUGAGAGCUUUGAAGAAAAGGACAUAAGUAUGAAAUAAAAGAUGAUUAGUUUGAAAAGUAUUGAGGAAAGCAUUUAAAUAAAUCACGUAAAAGAAAGAAGGGUCCUAGGUUUGAAUAUAAAAUGGAUCAUUCGAUGCAAUAUCUAGCUCAUAUUCCCAAAGAGGGGUCGCUUUAUGAUAUUAUCGCAUCGUCAUCAUCUCCAUAUUCUACCCUUCUCACCCUGUUAAGGUAUAUAAACGUGUGAAUUGGUCAUGGAUACUUAUUGCGUGCUAUUACCCGUCCCAUUCUAUAGCUCCUAGAGGGCAUUUGGGAUUUCUCUUCCUAUAAGGUAUGAGCUAGGCUUGAACCCCUAGGUUUAAAGGUUAAAACACUAAGCGACAUACAAGAACAAGCAGGACUACACGUAGAACAAUCAUGCAAAGUCAUAUAAGAAGGCUCAAAUAUCCCUCCAUAAGCGGACACACUACUAGCACGUCUCAAACACACGUAAGGUCUAAGGAAAAGAGAGUUAAAGUUGGAGUGUAAAUUAAAACUGAAGUUAAAAAAGUUUGCAGAAAGGUACGUAAGAGAAAAAGAUCGUCCAGAACUGAAAAGAGGUAGUAUAAAUUUUAGAAACCCGCCGAAGUCAUUUAGAAACAUUUGUGGGAAGCCUGGUAAAACAGUGUGGACAGGCGGACCAAAGAACAAGCGUAAAAACAUUUUCUUGAGAUUACAGAAGCAUAUAACAAUGACAUAUAGGCUUUUGGAGCUUUGAAAAAUUAGUUCUCGGAUAGUUGAAAUAGUGGCCCAAGUCUGGACAAGAAAAAUACAGUAGAAACCUUUGCACAGAUGGUUAAAAAAUAUGGCAAGAGUUUGUAAAAAAUAGUGAGGGCUUCACAGACAAACGAAUUCGGGCCGAGGUGGAUUAAUUUGACCACAACGUGCAGGUGAUUAGCCCAUUUUAUCCGGCCUAAGGCUUGCCUAGGCAUUACUUAUAGAUGGUGAGCAUAUAAUAGUUUCCUAAUGGCAUGAUAUCUAAUGCAAAGGAAGUCCUAUAAGCAUAAUAUCUAAAUGUGAUGGUGAUGACUCAUUGAUUAUUGAUUAAUCAGAGUCAUAACAAACAGACAGCAAGAGUCCUAAAGAACAAGUUUUCUGUUUGUGAAGAUGCAUGUCCAAAAGCAUGAUUUCUAUUGCGCAAAUAGGUAAGUAAAAUCCUAUAACAUGUUUUCUUCCCAUUCCCCUUAACUACACAUGCAUAACCCUUCCAAUUUAACUAUAAACCCCAUUAUUCAUUACAAGUUAUAAUAGACCAAGUAAUGAAAAGUACAACAGUGAUAUAAAAAAAAUUAUUCUAUAUGGAGCCUACAGCCGGGCCUAAGAUCUUCAACCUCACUUCUUUCGAGCUUCAUAGCCAUUACCAAGGCUUGGGUGCGGCAAAGUUCCUAAGGGUUCUUUUCAACCCCUGGCCAAUACCAGGCACCCAAAGUAUCAUUAUUAGACAAGUUCAAGUGUGGAAGUGCCAGCCUUGUGCAUCAAAGUUCAAUGGGUGCUCAAGGGCUCCCAAAGCAAUGCUUACACUAAGGGGACAGAACUUAGUGUUUCUAAGAGUAGUGAAGUUGUGAUAGGAUUGAGAGAGCUUGAGAAUCAAUUUAAGAAAAACAUCAGAAGGAUUAUGAGACAUUUAAGAAAAUAGUUUAAAAGGGCUAAAAAAGUUGACAGGGAUUCUUUGAAAAUCAAUUGUACUAACCAGCUUAGCAUUAUACAAACAGGGGGUAAAGGGGGAGGGAGCUGAUAAGCACAGGGAUCUACUAAUAUAUAGGAAAACAUAGUGAAGGUAGGUAACCAGACAUAGUUGUAGAAUAAAUAAGGUUCAGUUCUUACUCCACCCAACCCCAAUACACUUAACCUCAGGAAGAGGUGUUACGCUAAUCAAGUAGCCAAGCAGCCUUGGACACAUGUUAGUAAUGCACAAAGAAAAGUAAACAUUCAUUGAGGCAGGGAAGGGGUAGAAGGAUCAUGCUAAUCCAAGCUAAAUAGGCUGGUAAGUGUAUACUAGUGACAACAAGAGCAGCAGAACCAUAGGUGAGAGCACACAAGAAACAAGAAGAAGUGCAAAACUAGUAAAAGCUUAUUGUUUUGGAAACUGUAUAUUAAAUAGGGAACAUACAUGUUGCAGAAAAUACAACACAAUAUCAAUGAGCAGUAGUGCACAAUAGAGAGCAAAGUAUGCAGAGAAAGGGAGCAGCAAGGUGAGAACAGCAGUGUGCAGCACAGUGUGAGAAUGGCAGUGUACAACAAAGAGAGCAACAGGCAAACCCAAGUAAGCAAUGUAGUAGAACCUUAGUAUGUAGAAAUAAACAGGCAAGAUUACUCAAUCUUGGCGUUUAGACGAUUGAGUAUUUAAAUAGAAUAAUAAGAGGGUAUAGAAACAGUAGAGAAAGAGAGAACACUGAGUGUUUUGAAAGAGAGAGUUCAGAGAGUUUGAACUUGUGUAUGUGUAUGAGAGAUACGCAAUGUGUUGUUUUUGAAAGAAGGAUUAGAGAAAUUGUGCUCGUGUUUGAUGAGUAGAGAAGAGUAGUACUUAUAGCUUUUUGAAAAUAGUAGAGAAUAGGGUAGGAAGUGUAUAAUUAUAGAAACAAUAUCAAAUUAAAUCAAUCAAAGGUCCUAAUUCAAAUAAAUUAGGGACUCAAAAUUCGAAUGAGAAUACAAGCUAUCAAAUAAGAAAAAAGUCAGUUGAAUGAUUGACUAUACCAUAACAAAAGCAAUAGGCAUGAUGUACAUAAUAACGGCUAGGUACACAAUAUUACAAACAAGGCAAAUAUUUGUUGAAUAACAAAAAUAUAUAUAAAUAAACAACUAUGGCAAGAAAUAUAAAUUAUCUAUGAAAAGUCAGUCAAAGAAUCAUGGGCAAGACCUAAAUCAUUGGGAAUCUCACAAGUAAGGAAAUAAUUCAAAAUCGAUGUAAGAACUUUUUAAGGAAAAUUCAUACAAAUUAGGGAUUCAAAGAGAUGCACGUAAUUAGUUGAAUAUUGCAUGAACGAUGAACAAUUGGACCUAUAAAACACAAUAGACAUGAAAAUCAGAGAGCCUUAGGCAAGAAAGCAUGGAAGUAGUAAAGGGUUGGAACCUAAAGAGCUAAAGUAAUGGAACAUGGAUUAAUAGGGAAACAAUCAAACUCAUAAUGAAAAUAAACACAAACAAACACAUAAUACUCAAGAAAAGUCAGAAAGCAUAACGAUUUUGCAAAAAAAAGGGGUCAGAAAGCGUUUUGAAAAAGAGGUACAGAACGUUUGAAAAAUCGAGUUAAUCAAAGAUAUCGAGUGAGAUGGAGUGUAGAAAACAUAGAUUAAACCAGAAAUCUCAUAAAAGGACAGAAGUUUUAUGAUAUUUAGGCAAAGAAAAUUAGGGUUUGCAAAAAUAAAUCAGGGAACAAGAAACCUGGCCGUGAAGCUCGUGUACAAUGCCAUAGAAGGCAUCAUCAUACAAAGACCACCGGAGAAAAGCCAGAAACAGACCCAAAUAAAGCUUUAGUGACCCCUUUCAUGGCGGAAGCUGCUGGCUUCAAACUUUAGAGAGAAGAUAGCGAUACAUGGACUCCAUGGUUGCUGGAGGUCGAGAGAAGGGAGGGAGGAGUGAGCCGGAGAGGCGAUGGUCAUCAUCGGGGAAGACAGAGAGAACAGAAGGUUCUAAAGAGAUGAGGGUUAGAUAGCAUCUGUUAGAG